GUACUCGCUUCGGCGGUACAUGUGCUAAAAUCGAAACGAUACAGAGAAUAUCGGUAAGGUCCCUGCGCAAGGAUGACACACAAAAUCAUGAGGCGUUCCAUUUUUUU
rfam:Opisthorchis viverrini opera_v5_81.42, whole genome shotgun sequence.